UUAAGAAUUUUUAACCUAAACGGCCUUUGUUAGAACUACAAUGUUAAUAAAUGAAAAAAAGGAAACCUACAUAUAUAAAUUUGAAAAUUAAACAUCUGAAAUUUGGGUGUAGUAAACGUAUAAUCCACAAUUACGAUCAAUACAUCGAAAUCAAUUUUUGUGAGACCAUAGAGAUCUACAUAUUUUUAAAUUUGCCAGAGAGAUUUAUUUUUACAUACCAGUCUCAGAUAAGAAUAGGUAUGAAGGGAAAUAUCUGUUAUAAAAAACAAGAAACAUCUUUGGAGCAUUACAGAUGUAAAUUUGUGAAUUUUGCAACCAUUCCAACUUAAAUAUAUAAACUAUACAUUAAUCACAUUUGAGAAUAAGUGGAUCACCAUCAGCUUUUUCAUACUUGCAGGAAGAAGCUGCUGGUGCGUUGAAAAAAAAGGUUGCCCUAAGAUGACAAACAUGUAUAUCGCUAAAUCAUACAAACAGCAGAGUAACCUCUUCAAAAUCGAAAGAAAUCUGUGAAUAUGAAAAUGUAUUUAUCUUAUAUUUAAAAAUAUUAAUUUAAUCAAAUAGUCUUCAUUAUUGGAUGGUGGUGCUGUCUGUAGUAAUUACUUAUUUCAACAAGGUUCUUCGAUGUCCUGAAUUUCAACAUGUUUGAUGCUACUAGGCACAUAUCAGAAAAAUGGAAUGCUAAUACAUUGAGAGAACAGGAAAAUCUUUAACAUUAUUGUAAUUUAUGUUUCAAUAAAUAAGUACUUUUAUAAGCAAAUAAAUAAUUUUGAUUAAUUAUCUUUGUUUAAUGUGGAGUGGAAAUAAAGUUUUCAACGAACAAUUUAUUUAUAAAGAGGUCGUUACAGAGAUAUUCGGUAACUUAAUUAGUAAUUGUUAGAUAUAAAUAUGCUGAUAAUAACAAUGUAAAAAACUGAAAUAAAUUUUUUAACACCAAUACUAGUUUAAUAUCAGUUUUAUUGAUAAGUUGUUAAAAAUUAAGUAGAAUAAAAAUAAAUGACAGACAGUAUAUGAGACAAACGAUAGUUUUAAAAAUAUGUAAAUAAACGAUGUAAAUGGCUGAAUAAACAGUUUUAAAUAACAUUUGUAGGCAUAUUUUACACUUUUUCUUCUUUUCAUUAUGAUAUUUGAUGAUUUUCAGAAAAUUUAAGAAAGUUGAGCAAUGGUAUAUCUCUUGUUUUUCAUAUUAUUAAGAAUUAUGAGUGUGAAUGUAAUUGACAUUUAGCAAUCUUCUUAAAUUUUUAAUAAAUACAUGUGAGAGAAAAAAAUUAAAAAAUGCGUGAUCAGAUAAUUGAAAAAUCAGCGCGCACAUUUUUUUAAAUUUUACAAUUUUAAUUAAUUAAUUUAUUCAUUUAAAAUUUAUAAAUUGUUACAUGUGUGCUCCAUUUACACUCAUUAAAAAUUAAAAUACGUCGUUUUCAAUUGAUAACUAUGUUUAUAUCAUGGAACAUAAAAUAGGGUUAGUUUUAAACAUUUUUUAAACAAUAACCAACUAAUGAAAAUAAUAUGCACGACAAUUGCAACUCCUUUUAUUGUUUGCCAUCUUUAGCUUUUGGAAUCUUUUUUUAAAAUUUUUGUCGUCAAGCGAAAUUCCUCCUCGUCAACUUAUUUCACCAACUUACUGGCAACUUCUGUUCGCAGUUCACUGUCAAAAAUAUACUGAGAAAUUAUUGAUGGGAAGUUGGCGGCAACUCUGAUUAUAAUUUGGUGUUCAAAAAAUUCUAAGAAAUUUCUGAGGGAAAGUUGUGUACAACUUGCCCAGAAACCUGACUAUAUAAUUUUGCCAUCAACUUUUUAUGGUCCAACUUUUUGACGGAAACCUGCAUUCCAGUUGCGGCUUCAUACUGGCGCCAACUUUCUGAGAAAGUUGGCAGUAACUUGUAGCCAAAAGUUGUAAAUGCUAAAGUUGUCGACAACUUCUCGUCAAGUUGGUUGGAAACUAAUGAACGACCAACUUUUUCACGAUCAA